rnacentral:rRNA from 1 species
GUUCAGCACUAAGUCACUUUGUCUUAAUGGCAAAUGUGAGAUGCAGUGUAUGGAAUGUCAAAUUUCUAGUAUGAGAAAUUAACGAUUUAAGUCCUUCUUAAAUGAGGCCAUUUACCCAAAGAGGGUGCCAGGCCCGUAUAACGUUAAUGAUUACUAGAUGGCAUUUCCAAAGAGUCGUGUUGCUUGAUAGUGCAGCACUAAGUGGGUGGUAAACUCCAUCUAAAACUAAAUAUAACCAUGAGACCGAUAGUAAACAAGUACCGUGAGGGAAAGUUGAAAAGAACUCUGAAUAGAGAGUUAAAUAGUACGUGAAACUGCUUAGAGGUUAAGCCCGAUGAACCUGAAUAUCCGUUAUGGAAAAUUCAUCAUUAUGAUUUUAAUAUUUAUAAUAUUAUAAUAAUGGUGUGCAUUUUUUCUAUAAAGGACAUUGUAAUCUAUUAACAUAAAUAAAUUUAUCAUAAGAUCAAGUAUGCGUAAGUUUAUUCAAAUUAUUUUGCUUGCAAUUUAACAUAGAAUAAAUGCUCUUGAUUUGAUAAAGUGUUGAUAGAUUUAUUAUAUAUAGUGCUUAAAUAUUUAUAUUUUAUAAUAGCAUAUUAAUCAUUGAUUUUUAUGUUUAUUAUAUGCACUUAUAUGAUUAACAAUGCGAAAGAUUCAGGAUACCUUCGGGACCCGUCUUGAAACACGGACCAAGGAGUCUAACAUAUUUGCAAGUUAUUGGGAAUAAAAACCUAAUAGCGAAAUUAACAUAACUUAUUAAUGGGAUUAGUUUUUAGCCUAUUUAUAGUCUAUUAAUUCAAUCCCGGGGCGUUCUAUCAGUUAUGUAUAAUAAUAUUUAUAUUAUUUAUACCUCUAACUAGAGCGUACCUUGAGCAUAUAUGCUGUGACCCGAAAGAUGGUGAACUAUACUUGAUCAGGUUGAAGUCAGGGGAAACCCUGAUGGAAGACCGAAACAGUUCUGACGUGCAAAUC